GUUACAUGUUAAUUAUUGGUAACAAAUUAAUCAAUUUAUUGAUCAUAAUAACUAAAUAAUUAGUCACAGUACUACCAUCUCACCACCAUUAGGGACCACCAGCAAGAAUCAAAAUCAACAUCUCUACCACACCACCCCCAACCAAAAAAUCCCCAAACCAAACAUUACCACCAUCGCUAGCAACAGUAGCAGCACCAUUGUCGCUACCAGAAGCACCAUCACCAAAUACAUCGUCAUUGCAUUCCAUCCCUACAACCGCUUGUUCCAACAACUAACCACCACAUCCACGUCCACCUUCCCGGCAACUCCAAUCAACCACCGCAUCACCAUUACAACUGCUUGCUAGAAUCCACAAUCUCAUGCCACACUACCACACCACAGCCAACGCCCUACCAACAAAACCCCCAAACCCGUUACUGGCAUCUGCACUUUCAAUACACAAAUCAAUCCUUAACUCCCGCCACCACAAAAUCAGAAAAAAGAGAGAAAACCUUAUUUUUCCAACACCGAACUUCUAUGAUUGCUAUAUUGCAUUUAAAUUCCCAUUUUCUCACAUCUCUACUAGUAGAUCUCAUAGGUGGCUCCAGCAUCGCUGAGCAACGAUAAUACCACGACUACAAAGGGCUUUUGGUAAAGGUGAUCGACAUUGCGCGACGGUGAUACCAUCGCUGCUGCGGGAGCGGCUCUCCUAGUGACAAUCACCAUGUAUGAUUGUACGUCGUAUUGAUUGGAUUGUGCGUGAGUGAGAGAGUAAGUAGAGGUGAAAAUCAAGUCGAGCGGCUCAACCGCUCAGCUUGUAAAAAAGCGGCUGGAGCUUAUAUUUAGACGAGCUCGAGUUGAGCAGGCCUGCUCGUUAGGUGAGUUGAAUCCACUGGCGAACGGCUCGCACGAGCCCAUGAACCCUCAUAAAAAAUAAAAAAAUAAAAAAAAAGGCAACAAGAAAUCAG
rnacentral:lncRNA from 1 species